GAGGAUAUAGCUCAAGUGGUAGAGCGUAUGCUAGCAUAUACAAGGUCCUGGGUUCAAUUCCCAGCACCUUCU
rnacentral:tRNA from 1 species